GUGGUUGUAGCUCAGUGGUAGAGUGCUUGCCUAGCAUGUGUGAGGUACUGGAUUCGCUCCCAGCAACACA
rnacentral:tRNA from 1 species